AGUAAAUGCAAAGCAACUCUUCAGUUUCUUUUCUGAAUCAUGUGCCUGGAAUCUGUUAGGCAGUGAGGAAUGGUGGUCUGUCUUUAUAUUACCCUGGUCCCUCAUGCUGCUUAUCUUUCACACAUGUCCAAAUAUGUCUCAACACAGAAUCAUCCUCUCUAGCUGGGACAUGAUGCCUAGGUGGGUGGGGGAUUCCCCUGUUUUGUUUAAAAUCAAAGUUGUCUUUGAAUUUGGCUAGCAUGUUUGUGAUUAGUUUACUGACAAUUGGUUUUUUUUCUUCUUAUACCAUAUGUUAUUCCAUGAUUCAUCAGCUUUGAGUCUGUUGCCUUGAAGGUGUGCUGGUGUCUCUAAGCCUUUCUGGGCCGCAGCUGGAGAAAGUGGUGAUUGACAGAAGCCUGGUGGGGAAGCUCAUCUCAGACACCAUCAGUGAUGCUCUUCUCACAGACAGUUUUAUCAUCUUAUCAUUUUUGGCACAAAACAAACUAUGUUUUAUUCAGUUUACCAAGAAGAUGGAGUCUUCUGAUGUAAACAAAA
rnacentral:lncRNA from 1 species